rnacentral:misc_RNA from 1 species
GAUGAAGAACGUAGCGAAAUGCGAUACUUGGUGUGAAUUGCAGAAUCCCGUGAACCAUCGAGUCUUUGAACGCAAGUUGCGCCCGAAGCCAUCAGGUUGAGGGCACGUCUGCCUGGGCGUCACAUAUCGUUGCUCGAUGCCUAUCGCAUUGCGAUAGGACUUAGGGCGAAUGAUGGCUUCCCGUGAGCGUUGUUGCCUCGCGGUUGGUUGAAAAUCGAGUCCUUGGUAGGGUGUGCCAUGAUAGAUGGUGGUCGAGUUAGCACGAGUCCGAUCAUGUGCAUGCUCCCCAAAAUAUGGCCUCUGCGACCCACACGCGUCUUUUGACGCUCAUGACGAGACCUCAGGUCAGGCGGGGCUACCCGCUGAAUUUAAGCAUAUCAAUAAGCGGAGGA